rnacentral:rRNA from 1 species
ACGCACGCUGGCGGCGUGCUUCACACAUGCCAGUCGCACGGAAAGGCCCUGCUUUUGUGGGGUGCUCGAGUGGCGAACGGGUGAGUAACACGUGAGUAACCUGCCCUUGACUUUGGGAUAACUUCAGGAAACUGGGGCUAAUACCGGAUAGGAGCUCCUGCUGCAUGGUGGGGGUUGGAAAGUUUCGGCGGUUGGGGAUGGACUCGCGGCUUAUCAGCUUGUUGGUGGGGUAGUGGCUUACCAAGGCUUUGACGGGUAGCCGGCCUGAGAGGGUGACCGGCCACAUUGGGACUGAGAUACGGCCCAGACUCCUACGGGAGGCAGCAGUGGGGAAUAUUGCACAAUGGGCGGAAGCCUGAUGCAGCAACGCCGCGUGCGGGAUGACGGCCUUCGGGUUGUAAACCGCUUUCGCCUGUGACGAAGCGUGAGUGACGGUAAUGGGUAAAGAAGCACCGGCUAACUACGUG